rnacentral:rRNA from 1 species
GUGGAGAAGAAAAGAUUAGGAUACCAUUUAUACAUGUUAGUGAAAGCGAAUAAAUGAGUUAAAAUAGAAAAUAUCUAUUAAUAUCAGGUUUAAAUAACUUAUAAUUAUUUUAUCCUAAGACAUUAAGCAUGAGCCAUGUAAAAACUGAAACAAAAUUUUAUUUACAGCAGUAAAGAAAUUUAUACAAUUAACUAAGGUUAGAUAUAGAGUAAUCCUUUAAAUUUGUCUAAUUAAGUGCCAGCAGACGCGGUAAUACUUAAAAAUUAAAUCUUUUAUAAAAACAGAAUUAUAUGUAAAAAAUUAUAACAAAUAAAAUUAAGUACUUUAAUUAGGUAGAAUUAAUAAACUACUUAACUUUAUUUAUUACUUAAAAAUAUGAAAAUUCCACACACAAACAGGAUUAGAUACCCUGGUAGAAAAUUAUAAGAAAAAAUUUCUGAACAGUACAUCUCAAUGAUGAAAAUCAAAUAAUUUGGUUGUUUAUUUUCUCCUUAGAGGAGUAUGUAAUUUAAUUCGAUAAUCCGCGAAAAACCUUACCUUUUUUUGAAUUUACAGGUACUGCAUGGUUGUCUUCAGCUUAAAUUUAUAAUUAAAGCUUAACCCUAUCUAGGAUGAAGUCAAAUAUUAUGGUCCUUAUAAAAAGGGAUAUUAUGUACUACAAUUUAUAAAUUAAACUAAAUUUAUAAUUGAAUUAUUUAUGAAAAAUUUUAUGAAAUAGAAUUUAAUAGUAAUUAAAGAAAGAAAGCUUUAAUGAAUUAGUAAAAAUAUGAAUACAAAUAGCCCGUCGCCUUUACCAAUUAAAAUAAAUAAAAGGUAGAGUAAGUCGUAACAUAGUGGGGGGAAGGGAACUUCUCCCUGAAUAUUU